GUGGGGAAUAUUGGACAAUGGGCGAAAGCCUGAUCCAGCCAUGCCGCGUGUGUGAAGAAGGUCUUCGGAUUGUAAAGCACUUUAAGUUGGGAGGAAGGGCAGUAAGUUAAUACCUUGCUGUUUUGACGUUACCGACAGAAUAAGCACCGGCUAACUUCGUGCCAGCAGCCGCGGUAAUACGAAGGGUGCAAGCGUUAAUCGGAAUUACUGGGCGUAAAGCGCGCGUAGGUGGUUUUGUAAGUUGGAGGUGAAAUCCCCGGGCUCAACCAGGGAACUGCCUCCAAAACUGCAUGACUAGAGUACGGUAGAGGGUAGUGGAAUUUCCUGUGUAGCGGUGAAAUGCGUAGAUAUAGGAAGGAACACCAGUGGCGAAGGCGACUACCUGGACUGAUACUGACACUGAGGUGCGAAAGCGUGGGGAGCAAACAGGAUUAGAAACCCCUGUAGUCC
rnacentral:rRNA from 1 species